UUCUGAUUUAAAUUGAAGAUAAAUCACGGACUCACAGGCUUGAAAAGCAAAGUUUCUUUAAUUCACCCCUGCUCCUUCAGUGUCCAGACGUACACACAAUUUCUGGAGGCCAUUGAGCAUGAUGAACAACAAAGGAUGAUGCAGCAUACUCAGACUCUUCCUCCACACACAGAGACUAUUAUCAUCAAGACUUUGACUUUGGCGGCCUUUGUGUAUACAGGUGCCUCAGUGAUAGAGAAUCUGCCUGCAAUGCAGGAGACACAGGAGAUGUAGGUUCAAUCCUUGGAUUCGGAAGAUCCUAUGUAGGAGGAAGCGGCAACACACUCCAGUAUUAUCACCUGG